UCGAGCAUAGUUUAAUGGUAAAACAUUUCCUUGUCAAGGAGAAGAUAUGAGUUCGAUUCCUCCCGCCUGCC
rnacentral:tRNA from 1 species